rnacentral:lncRNA from 10 species
CAGCAGAGCUGGGAGAGGCACUUGCUCUUUAGGCUCUGGGCCCAGUGUUCUUUGUACAGUACCAGGGCCUCUCUGAGUGAAAAUCUGAAGACACAAGCUCAAAGCCUGCAGGGCCCAGGGAGCUGCCGUUGUUGGUGAACUGGCACUGGGGCCAGCUCCAGGAGGUGCGGGAGCCUGGCCAGCUGGAGGAGAACACCCCCCACCUAAAGGGGCAUCUGCUCCUCUGCCCAGCCUGUGGUUCCCCUGGGAGUGAAGGCCCAGCGUUGCAAGAUCUUAAUGGAAGUCACACGUUGGAGAUUUUAGAUGAAUCUGACAAACCUACCUCAGUUACCCCAGAACUCCUAUGACCGGCUUUAAGCUCUGGUCAGGGAAACAGAGGCAAAAGCAGCCUGAGAAUUACUGAGGAAGACUGGACGGAAACCAGGGUCAGAAAACUGUGCAAGAUUACGGGAAUCCAUCCUUAUCUUCAAACACUCUGCUGUUGUGAAAUAAGGACUUGAUUUCCAUCAAGAAGGAAGAGGUUUCCUGGAGCAAACCCAAGAUUCUCCAGGUAUAUAGACAGAAGUGGAAAUGUUGUCGCAGACUUACGCAUCUCCUUAACUACAUCUGAUGAUGCCAAAUUGCUGUCUACUGUGACUUUAUCAAAUUACACUCUCACCUGGCAUUGGUUAAGAGGAGUGAUUGUUCCAUUUCCUUGCAUCAUUGAUUAUCAGACUUUAAUUUUUGCUUACUUGGUGGAUGUGAAAUGAUAUCUCAUUGUGGCUUUAUUUCACAUUUCCAAAUGACUAGAGAGGUUGAGUUCCUUAUUG